rnacentral:rRNA from 1 species
UACGUAGGUGGCAAGCGUUGUCCGGAUUUACUGGGCGUAAAGAGCGCGCAGGCGGUCGUUUAAGUCGAAUGUGAAAGCCCCCGGCUCAACUGGGGAGGGUCAUUCGAUACUGAUCGACUUGAAGGCAGGAGAGGGAAGUGGAAUUCCGGGUGUAGUGGUGAAAUGCGUAGAUAUCCGGAGGAACACCAGUGGCGAAGGCGACUUCCUGGCCUGUUCUUGACGCUGAGGCGCGAAAGCUGGGGGAGCAAACAGG